rnacentral:rRNA from 1 species
CCUACGGGAGGCAGCAGUGGGGAAUUUUGGACAAUGGGGGCAACCCUGAUCCAGCCAUGCCGCGUGAGUGAAGAAGGCCUUCGGGUUGUAAAGCUCUUUCGGCCGGAACGAAAUCGCGCACGUGAAUAACGUGCGUGGAUGACGGUACCGGAGUAAGAAGCACCGGCUAACUACGUGCCAGCAGCCGCGGUAAUACGUAGGGUGCGAGCGUUAAUCGGAAUUACUGGGCGUAAAGCGUGCGCAGGCGGUUCGCUAAGUCAGACGUGAAAGCCCCGGGCUUAACCUGGGAACGGCGUUUGAAACUGGCGGGCUCGAGUACGGCAGAGGGGGGUGGAAUUCCACGUGUAGCAGUGAAAUGCGUAGAUAUGUGGAGGAACACCGAUGGCGAAGGCAGCCCCCUGGGCCGAUACUGACGCUCAUGCACGAAAGCGUGGGGAGCAAACAGGAUUAGAUACCCUGGUAGUCCACGCCCUAAACUAUGUCAACUAGUUGUCGGGGAAGCAAUUCCUUGGUAACGCAGCUAACGCGUGAAGUUGACCGCCUGGGGAGGUACGGUCGCGAGAUUAAACUUAAAUAGAGUUAGACGGCGUGAGACGUGCCGAACGGACGACGACGAGGGAGGUAGG